rnacentral:rRNA from 1 species
UACGAAGGGGGCUAGCGUUGCUCGGAAUCACUGGGCGUAAAGGGUGCGUAGGCGGGUCUUUAAGUCAGGGGUGAAAUCCUGGAGCUCAACUCCAGAACUGCCUUUGAUACUGAGGAUCUUGGAGUUCGGGAGAGGUGAGUGGAACUGCGAGUGUAGAGGUGAAAUUCGUAGAUAUUCGCAAGAACACCAGUGGCGAAGGCGGCUCACUGGCCCGAUACUGACGCUGAGGCACGAAAGCGUGGGAGCAA